AGUGAACGCUGGCGGUAGGCCUAACACAUGCCAGUCGAACGGCAGCACAGUAAGAGCUUGCUCUUACGGGUGGCGAGUGGCGGACGGGUGAGGAAUACAUCGGAAUCUACUUUUUCGUGGGGGAUAACGUAGGGAAACUUACGCUAAUACCGCAUACGACCUACGGGUGAAAGCAGGGGAUCUUCGGACCUUGCGCGAUUGAAUGAGCCGAUGUCGGAUUAGCUAGUUGGCGGGGUAAAGGCCCACCAAGGCGACGAUCCGUAGCUGGUCUGAGAGGAUGAUCAGCCACACUGGAACUGAGACACGGUCCAGACUCCUACGGGAGGCAGCAGUGGGGAAUAUUGGACAAUGGGCGCAAUCCUGCUCCAGCCAUACCGCGUGGGUGAAGAAGGCCUUCGGGUUUUAAAGCCCUUUUGUUGGGAAAGAAAAGCAGCAGGUUAAUACCCCGCUGUUCUGACGGUACCCAAAGAAUAAGCACCGGCUAACUUCGUG
rnacentral:rRNA from 1 species